rnacentral:lncRNA from 1 species
GAGUGCUGAGCCCCUCACUGCUGGGGCCGGCGGCGCUGCCGGCCACUCGGAGUGCGGGGCCUGCUGAGCCCGCGCCCACCCAGAACUCGCUGGCCUGCGAGUGCAGCGCGCAGCCCCUGUUCCCGCCCGCGCGUCUCCCUCCACAUCUCCGGGCAAGCAAAGGGAGCCGGCUCCAGCCUCGGCCAGCCCAGAGAGUGCCUCCCACAGUGCAGCGGCGGGCUGAAGGGCUGGCUUCUCAAGCGUGGCCAGAGUGGACGCCGAGGCUGAGGAGGCGCCCAGAGUGAGCAAGGGCUGAUAGCACGUUGUCACCUCAAUACCACAGAAAUUGAAAACAGAGAUAAAAGGAGACUACUGUAUAUCAGUUCAAGGCCAAGUGACAACCUUCUAAGAAAAACUCACAGAACUGGAAUUUGGAAGGCAAGUUAUGGUAUCUCAAACGUGUGAGUAAAAACAAACUAAAAAUGAGAACCUAACAAACUAAGUAGUAGUAGAACAAAAGCAGGGGAUUGAGAGUAAGCUCCGCUGUAGACUUUGCUUCACUGUAGGUGGGUUUUGCGUGAGCCGGAUCCAUCUCACCUUGAAAUGGAUCCAGCCUAAGAGUGCUAUGCAAAUAACCAAGGUGACUGAGCCU